GGCUGUCUUAAGCAUUGUGGGCUGUGUAGCAGCCAUCCUAACCCUCUAAUUGAGAGAUACUAACAUCACCCUCUGUCAAGUUUUGGCACCAGAAAUGCAUCCAGAGUUGCCAGAUGUACCUGGAGGGAAGUGGAGGAGCUGAAGUACCUUCAGUUUAGGCCCACAUAUGACCACGUAGAUCUAGGCAGAUUAAACAGCCCCAAUACAAGCUUCCUGUUCUCAGACUGCUGGAAUUGUGAGCCUGAUUCAGUGUCUCAAGAACUCUUUAAGACUAGUAUACAACUUCCCAGUGGGCAAGCUUCUAAGUUUCUCAUACUUCCUCCUUUUGAGAAACUUGGGUCCAGCUGCCUCAGACAUGGAUGAAACAUAAGGCAAGUUUCAACCUAAAAUUAUUCUUCUCAUUCAAAAAUUAACUCAUGCCCAUCGACUCUUUUCUGCUCCAGUGAAUUCAU
rnacentral:lncRNA from 1 species